CUUUAUCAUAGUGUUUGUGUAUAUGAACCUGGGAGCCAGAAUGGCUUGGAUGGAAUGGUGGAUCUCCAACUUAACAGUUGAGUGUACGCUAUGCUUAUUCUUAGAGGGAUUAAUUACCUGGCAUGAAGUUCAAACAAACGGUAAGCUGCUGGGACGAGAAUAAAAUUCAGCUACAGAUGAUCAGAUUACUUCUUGUGUCAACUAUGUAAAAUAUCUGAGACACAUCUUGGUGACCUUUAAUAACCCUCGUCUACUGGAACCAGUUUGACCCUUGAUAGAUAGAGACUCAAUGAAUCAGAUCUAGAAAUCUGAUUUUAAUAAAAUUUGCCAAGAAUCUGUUUCUGAUUUUGC
rnacentral:lncRNA from 1 species